UUCCUUUCCUUUUUCAACUCUGCCAAGCAAUGGAGGUAAAAAUAAAAAUUACUUUUUCUUUCAAUUUUUCCAUCUCUCCUACCAAGCACACCUAUGGAAAGAAAAAAAAUAUAUUUUCCCUCAUUCUAUUUUUCUGCCCCUUCAAUUUUCCAUCUUUAGAAGAAUGGAAAACAUUAUUUUUCUUUCCAUAGGUGUCCUUGCCAGGAGAGAUGAAAAAAUGGAUUCUAUCCAUUGCUUGGUAGAGUUGAAAACUGAAAGGAAA
rnacentral:pre_miRNA from 1 species